UACGUAGGGCGCAAGCGUUGUCCGGAAUUAUUGGGCGUAAAGAGCUCGUAGGUGGCGUGUCGCGUCUGCCGUGAAAGCCCAUGGCUUAACUGUGGGUCUGCGGUGGAUACGGGCAGGCUGGAGGCUGGUAGGGGCAAGCGGAAUUCCUGGUGUAGCGGUGAAAUGCGCAGAUAUCAGGAGGAACACCGGUGGCGAAGGCGGGUCUCUGGGCAACAACUGACGCUGAGGAGCGAAAGCGUGGGGAGCGAACAGG
rnacentral:rRNA from 1 species